GACGAACGCUGGCGGCGUGCUUAACACAUGCAAGUCGAACGGAAAGGCCUGCUUUCCCUUGUGGAUUGCGGGUGCUCGAGUGGCGAACGGGUGAGUAACACGUGAGUGAUCUGCCCCCAACUUGGGUAUAAGCCUGGGAAACUGGGUCUAAUUCCCGAUAGGACUGCAGGGUGGUGCCUGUGGUGGAAAACGAUUUUCUAGUGGUUGGGGAUGAGCUCGCGGCCUAUCAGCUUGUUGGUGGGGUAAUGGCCUACCAAGGCGGCGACGGGUAGCCGGCCUGAGAGGGUGGACGGCCACAUUGGGACUGAGAUACGGCCCAGACUCCUACGGGAGGCAGCAGUGGGGAAUAUUGCACAAUGGGCGGAAGCCUGAUGCAGCGACGCCGCGUGGGGGAUGACGGCCUUCGGGUUGUAAACUCCUUUCGACCGCGAGGAAGCCGCCUGGUUGGAAGGGUGGUGACGGUAGUGGUAGAAGAAGCACCGGCUAACUACGUG
rnacentral:rRNA from 1 species